UGGGGAAUCUUCCGCAAUGGACGAAAGUCUGACGGAGCAACGCCGCGUGAGUGAUGACGGCCUUCGGGUUGUAAAGCUCUGUUAAUCGGGACGAAUGGUCUUUGUGCGAAUAGUGCAGAGAUUUGACGGUACCGGAAUAGAAAGCCACGGCUAACUACGUGCCAGCAGCCGCGGUAAUACGUAGGUGGCAAGCGUUGUCCGGAAUUAUUGGGCGUAAAGCGCGCGCAGGCGGUUUCGUAAGUCUGUCUUAAAAGUGCGAGGCUCAACCUCGUGAGGGGAUGGAAACUAUGGAACUAGAGUAUCGGAGAGGAAAGCGGAAUUCCUAGUGUAGCGGUGAAAUGCGUAGAUAUUAGGAAGAACACCAGUGGCGAAGGCGGCUUUCUGGACGACAACUGACGCUGAGGCGCGAAAGCCAGGGGAGCGAACGGG
rnacentral:rRNA from 1 species